rnacentral:other from 1 species
CGUCCACGGAUGCGGCUGUCGAUGUGCAGGAGAACCGAUAAAGACACAUAGGGAGCCAGACCCUUCGCCGGUGUGCAAGCCCCCCGCUUCGCGCGUUAGGGGGAAGCCUGAAGGAGAAGUCGAUGGCACCCACCUUAACUUGGUGGGUUCCCCUAGCCUCGGCGGCCGUUCCGUGGACAC